rnacentral:rRNA from 1 species
UCAGGCCUAACACAUGCAAGUCGAACGAUGAACCCUAGCUUGCUAGGGGGAUUAGUGGCGAACGGGUGAGUAACAUAUCGGAACGUACCUAGUAAUGGGGGAUAACUAGUCGAAAGAUUAGCUAAUACCGCAUACGCCCUGAGGGGGAAAGUAGGGGAUCUUCGGACCUUAUGUUAUUAGAGCGGCCGAUAUCUGAUUAGCUAGUUGGUGGGGUAAAGGCCUACCAAGGCGACGAUCAGUAGCUGGUCUGAGAGGACGACCAGCCACACUGGAACUGAGACACGGUCCAGACUCCUACGGGAGGCAGCAGUGGGGAAUUUUGGACAAUGGGCGCAAGCCUGAUCCAGCCAUGCCGCGUGAGUGAAGAAGGCCUUCGGGUUGUAAAGCUAUGGGCAAGGGAAGAAAACUUACAUUCUAAUAAAGUGUGAGG